ACACAAGGAGGACGAGGAAGCGCUCGUUUCACAGGGCUGGACAUCCUUAGGUCACAGUCAUCAUACCUCUGUACUGCUGCUGAGCUCAUAACCUAUUCACUAAGGAAGCACCUAAUCGAGAAAGUUUCCUAAUGUUGCCUUUAUGGCUUCUUGAGGACCACGGAUGCGGGGACGACAAACUGUGGCAGAUGGUAGGUGGAUGGUUGAAGAGAAGAAUGAAUAGAAGGAAGGCAGGAAAUGAAUGAACUCUAGACUCCUCGAGGACAGAGGCAUGGUAGCAUUUCUGAGGCACAGCCCACUCUCAAGGUCAAAGGCCAUCCAUGCCUUUAGAGAUGGACACAUGACCCAUCCUAGGCCAAGCAGGACCUCCCACCACCCCCAACUCACUCCUGCUCC